UACAGAGGUCUCAAGCGUUGUUCGGAUUCAUUGGGCGUAAAGGGUGCGUAGGCGGCGCGGUAAGUCGGGUGUGAAAUCUCGGGGCUUAACUCCGAAACUGCAUUCGAUACUGCCGUGCUUGAGGACUGGAGAGGAGACUGGAAUUUACGGUGUAGCGGUGAAAUGCGUAGAUAUCAGGAAGAACACCAAUGGCGAAGGCAGCUCUCUGGGACGGUACUGACGCUGAGACGCGAAAGCGUGGGGAGCAAACAGG
rnacentral:rRNA from 1 species